rnacentral:rRNA from 1 species
AACGAACGCUGGCGGCAUGCCUAACACAUGCAAGUCGAACGAGACCUUCGGGUCUAGUGGCGCACGGGUGCGUAACGCGUGGUAACCUGCCCUUAGGUUCGGAAUAACUCCCCGAAAGGGGUGCUAAUACCGGAUAAUGUCUUCCGACCAAAGAUUUAUCGCCUUUUGAUGGGCCCGCGUUGGAUUAGCUAGUUGGUAGGGUAAAAGCCUACCAAGGCGACGAUCCAUAGCUGGUCUGAGAGGAUGAUCAGCCACACUGGGACUGAGACACGGCCCAGAAUCCUACGGGAGGGAGCAGUGGGGAAUAUUGGACAAUGGGCGAAAGCCUGAUCCAGCAAUGCCGCGUGAGUGAUGAAGGCCGUAGGGUUGUAAAGCUCUUUUACACGGGAUGAUAAUGACAGUACCGGGAGAAUAAGCUCCGGCUAACUCCGUG